UGGCGGCCGGCGCACGGGUGCGUAACGCGUAUGCAACCUACCUUUAACAGGGGGAUAACACUGAGAAAUUGGUACUAAUACCCCAUAGUAUCAUAGAAGGCAUCUUUUAUGGUUGAAAAUUCCGAUGGUUAGAGAUGGGCAUGCGUUGUAUUAGCUAGUUGGUGGGGUAACGGCUCACCAAGGCGACGAUACAUAGGGGGACUGAGAGGUUAACCCCCCACACUGGUACUGAGACACGGACCAG
rnacentral:rRNA from 1 species